ACCACAGCCAAAUCACCCUGCAGCCCAAGACUGGUUGCCCACUGAAGCUAAGCAGGGUUGAGCCUGGUCAGUACCUGGAUGGGAGACCUCCUGGGAAAACUAGGUUGCUGCUGGAA
rnacentral:rRNA from 1 species